rnacentral:rRNA from 1 species
UAGGGAAUCUUCCGCAAUGGACGAACGUCUGACGGAGCAACGCCGCGUGAGUGAAGAAGGAUUUCGGUUCGUAAAACUCUGUUGUUAGGGAAGAAAAAAUGUAUAGUAACUAUAUACAAAAGAGACGGUACCUAACCAGAAAGCCACGGCUAACUACGUGCCAGCAGCCGCGGUAAUACGUAGGUGGCAAGCGUUGUCCGGAAUUAUUGGGCGUAAAGCGCGCGCAGGUGGUUUAGAAAGUCUGAUGUGAAAGCCCACGGCUCAACCGUGGAGGGUCAUUGGAAACUAAUAAACUUGAGUGCAGGAGAGAAAAGUGGAAUUCCUAGUGUAGCGGUGAAAUGCGUAGAGAUUAGGAGGAACACCGGUGGCGAAGGCGGCUUUUUGGCCUGCAACUGACACUGAGGCGCGAAAGCGUGGGGAGCAAACAGG